UGAACAAGAGUGAAUGUUUGCUGGGAGAGAGCACUGAGGACCCUGGCCAGGCAAGCUCUGUAAGAAACUCAAAGUACGACGUCCCUCGAGUCUAUGGAUGGAGCAGCACUACCUGCAGGGUCCUGAAUAAAUUCUCAGAGCUACAGCAGAGCUCAGAGGAUGGUGGUCACUCCAGAACUGCUCAUAGACAGAAAGAUUUGGCUACGUUUGCACGGUGCACGGCCACUGCCCGACAGCAUUAGUGGAAACUGCCUUUCCCCGGUGACCUUGCUGCUAAGCUGGAGACUGCCAGGGACUGUCACCUCCAAUGACACUGCUCAGAGGGUCCUUGUCAGAACAAUUACCACUGCACUUCCCUGGUGUGGGUCAUUGGCUGCACUCUGGAGAGCGAAAAGGCAACCAGUCUUACUCCUCACUUAACUAAACCAUGCCGAGAGAGAAAGAAGUGCCUCUCCUCUCUCCUCCCUGCUGUGAUCGGUGGCCGAAGGGCAGGGAACACCUUGGGCAGCAGGUGAGCAGCUGGACGGAGCUCGGGGGGGCCACGCGCUGCACCUCUUCCCCCUUCAGGACCCCGCAGCGUGGGCGAGCCUUAGGAACAACCAGGAGGAACCGUGAUUUAUUCUCCACUUUCAAGUGAUACCGUGAACCUUUUGAAGCAAAGUGAGGUGGUUAUUUUUUUGUUGUUUCCUUUUUUAUUUU
rnacentral:lncRNA from 1 species